rnacentral:rRNA from 1 species
CAAUAAGGGCAUAUGGUGGAUGCCUUGGCACAAGAUGGCGAUGAAGGACGUGGCUUGCUGCGAUAAGCUUCGGGUAGGUGUAAGCAACCUUUGAUCCGGAGAUUUCCGAAUG